GCGCUGUGUUGCAGCCAGUGUCUGUUUUUUCCUACCGUUACAGGUGAACACAAGUCAUAACGUACAAAGAUUUUACGGAACACCUUUGCUAUGAAUUGGUGAUUUUUCCUCGACCCUACAGACCUUGGACAUAGAUUUGAUGAGUUCCACUUUGGCAAAUUCAUCAAUGUAUCUCAAGCAAGUGUUCUUCUUUGACAUCCAUCCACCACUUGGCAAGUUAUUGCUUGCAGGAGCUGGCUACAUGGCUGAUACCAAUGUCACGUUUCCCUUUGAGAGGAUCGGGGAUGUGGGAGUGUUGGCUCUGAACAGAGCUGUUGUACUCUGCUCGUCUUCAGGAGAAUGCAGGACUACCGGUGGUGAUGGAGCUUGUGAUUUGGUUGCUGGCUGGAUGUGCAGGUAACCUUAUUCCGGCUUAUUACGGAGGUGAAGCUCGCUGCGAUCAAGAGGUUGGGAUACAGGGUGACUAUGACCCAACUGAGUUAUAGUGUGUGGAGCAUGCUCAGAUGUAUCCAGGGCUCAGUCUCAACAAGUUUCCCGCCAGUGCCCAUUAUGCCCUUAAGACAAUUUGGUCAAGUACUUUGCACAGCAUUUGAGGCGCAAGCAUAAAGUUGCUGAUCAACAAAGACGGCUAACCAUAAUUGCACAGACACGAAAAAGACAACCAAUCUCCAAACCACGUGCAGCUGGGAACAAAAAGUGUUACCAAAGGAAAACUGCGGACUGCCCAGUACCAGGUUGUUACGGCAAAGCGUACAAACGAAUCGACACACACUUAUGGUACAAGCACGAGUUGGAUAUGUGUCCAAAGCAUGGGACAGAUUUCCUGGAGCACAAGUGCUGCUACUGCUGUUCAGUUGCUGUGUUCUUCUGCUUUGGUCGAACACAUCUCUGCAAUGCUUGCCAGGAUGACUUUCAAAGGAUCACCAGCAUUCCAAAGCCAGAUCUUCCUCACUGCCCGGCUGAGAUAAAAUGUGUUCAGUAUUCUGUUCUGUAUCAUUGGAACACUUCAUCCCUGUGCCACUGAUGGGUGACUGAAUUUCACUGGGUGCUUCUCAAAAGUUUGUCUGUCUUCAUGCCUACCGACUUCCCCUGAUCUCAUCAGCGAGUCAAACACUCUCUCUGUUUCACUGCAAACAUUUUCAGCGUUGGAGAAUUUGGUCAGCCAACUCUCAAUAGCAGGCAAUUUUCAGCAUUUUUGUUGUUGGAGAUUUUGGUAAAGUGUUAGCCCACCCUCUCAACCAUCAAAAUGGUUCACAACAAUAACAUUUAGAUGACUCGUGAAACUGUGUGAACUGAAAAGUGAAAUUAAAUUGGUACCAGAAGUAUUGUAUACUAGAUACAGGCUUGAAAUACUAGCACUGCACACUUUGGACUGUUACACUUGAAAUGUAAUUGUACCAACAUUUAAGACAAUCUGUAUUAUCAAAAUCUUCACACAUUGAACUCACUUUGAGAUAUCGUAGCUACUUCCUGAUUGCAUUGUUGAAAUAUACAGGAUAUAAUUCAUCCUUUAACAAGAUUAUUUGAUCUUUCCUAAACAAAAUCAUUGGUUUUUAAACAAAGCUUGGUCAGAAAUCAGUGUAAUAAUUUAUUCUGAACUGUUUUAAUAACACUGUGUUAGGUCAUUUUCCCUCCAAACUGCAGGUGAAAGCUGAGACAGGACAGUUGCCACCUCUACACCCUACGCCUCUUCUUCCCGCCCUGCAAUCUUACCUGCACCAUUCCACUUGUACUACUUGCUGCUCUCCAUAUAGCCAAGAGUCUCUGCGCCUCUGAUGAUGCAUACGUCCUAUAGCCUUAAGGUAAUCCAUGCUUACUGUUUGCUUUUCUGCUAGUAAUCUUGAUUAUAUAUGCACAUGUAAUAACUCUUUUUCCCCAUAAAAAGCAGAAGUCUCUGCAAAUACUUUCAACAAUGGCAACCAAUGGGACAACACUUGGUUGAUUUUGUCUUCCAAUAUUUAACUGGAACCUACUAUAGAGGAAGUUUAAUUGAGAACUUCACAAAAAUCCAAAUAUAUCUUGAACUUUUACUCAGUAGCCCAGUCAGCACUGAUAACAUGUCUUCAGUAGUCUGUUCUGUGUCGUUUGAAACCAUAAAAUCACUGAAAAUUGUCUGACCCCAAAUCUGAACAUUGUCCCAUGCCAGCAUGGCAGAUUUUUCAGAUUUUUUACUAAAAACUCAACA